ACCCUGUUAUUCUGUUGUGGCUGAGCAUCUCAUUCGAAAAUCAGUUGAUUUGAUCUAUCCUUACCAAGUUGUUCUGAGUCCCUAUCUCAUCGCUGCAACUCAUUUUUGAAACUAAAAUGAUUAUUGUAUAUUCUACUUCAUCAUCUCUCACUUUGUUAGAAAAUGAGGAAGAACCCUCAAGAAGGUGAUAGAAACUCUUAAGAACAAAGUUUAGAAAAAGGAUAAUUUUUAUUCAACUCACCCCUCUACAAAUGGAAGAACCUUGUUGCCACUUUGACCAUAAAAUUUAAAAAGAAAAUAAGAA
rnacentral:lncRNA from 1 species